UACGUAGGGGGCGAGCGUUGUCCGGAAUCAUUGGGCGUAAAGGGCGCGUAGGCGGGCUUAUAAGUCUGAUGUGAAAGUGCGGUGCUUAACACCGUAAAGCAUUGGAAACUGUAGGUCUUGAGGACAGGAGAGGAAAGUGGAAUUCCUAGUGUAGCGGUGAAAUGCGUAGAUAUUAGGAGGAACACCAGUGGCGAAGGCGACUUUCUGGACUGUAACUGACGCUGAGGCGCGAAAGCGUGGGGAGCGAACAGGAUUAGAUACCCCCGUAGUCC
rnacentral:rRNA from 1 species